UACGUAGGUGGCAAGCGUUGUCCGGAUUUAUUGGGCGUAAAGCGCGCGCAGGCGGUCCUUUAAGUCUGAUGUGAAAUCUUGCGGCUCAACCGCAAGCGGUCAUUGGAAACUGGGGGACUUGAGUACAGAAGAGGAAAGCGGAAUUCCACGUGUAGCGGUGAAAUGCGUAGAGAUGUGGAGGAACACCAGUGGCGAAGGCGGCUUUCUGGUCUGUAACUGACGCUGAGGCGCGAAAGUGUGGGGAGCAAACAGG
rnacentral:rRNA from 1 species